UACGGAGGAUGCGAGCGUUAUCCGGAUUUAUUGGGUUUAAAGGGUGCGUGGGCGGGCUUUUAAGUCAGCGGUAAAAAUUCGGGGCUCAACCCCGUCCGGCCGUUGAAACUGGGGGUCUUGAGUGGGCGAGAAGAAGGCGGAAUGCGUGGUGUAGCGGUGAAAUGCAUAGAUAUCACGCAGAACCCCGAUUGCGAAGGCAGCCUUCCGGCGCCCUACUGACGCUGAGGCACGAAAGUGCGGGGAUCGAACAGG
rnacentral:rRNA from 1 species